rnacentral:lncRNA from 1 species
UCCAGUUCCAUCACAUUUUCCAUGCUUGUGCACUACAUUCUCUCAGACACCAGCGCUGUGUGCUCAGGUGUGUUGAAAAGCUUCUGCUCCUUCUGACUCUCUGCAGGGUGGAAAGAUGUCAGAGGCCAGUAGGACCCAAAGAGAGGAAUCUGGAGAAGUAACGAUAAAUAUUCCCAAAAAUUUCCAUCAUAGUUUAAUUGUUGUUUCUACUUUACUGAAACUAAGGAACGUACAAUGAUUUUAUAAGCCGUGAUUUUCUGUGACCUCUUGUGCAGAUCUACAAUAAGUGUAAGUACAAAAGAACACGGUCGAAUCAGUUACACAAAAUGGUUACACUGAUAAAUGGACUGCUAUAUUAUUCCUGCCUUGCAUCUGAUACUUCGUAAAAGUAGCAUUUCUUUAUAUGAUCUCAUAAUGUGAAACAAACAUCAGUCGUCCAUAUUUAUAUUUUCAUCUUUAUCAUUACAGGAGUGUGACAAUACAAGUGGGGCUACAGUAUGAUUGUCUGCUAAGUGUAAAGCACACAAAAAAACAUGGAGCUGCGAUGUAGAGACACCAGUUCGCCCAGACAGAACAUGGGAGAACAUGCAAACUCCACACCAAGUGUGCUCCAGGCCGUUGUGAGACACUGCACGAAUCCCCACAACAAGGGACCAGAAAGAACGCUUCGUGACAGAAAAAGGCAUCCAGGAAACAGGAAACAAGAACAGAAACUGCUUUACUUGUUUCUGAACCUCCUGGCCUUGUGUGUCUGCUGCGGUGGAGUCACACCUGAGAAAAAUUCCAGAACCUGCGACAGCAAAGACAAGACCUCAGCUCCAGUGACCCCCCCCACUCCUGCCACCUCAACUUCUACAAACUCUGAUGUAAAGACACCCCCCAGCCCCCUCCAAGUCUCACAGUCUGAGGACUGUGAUUUGAACGAUGGAUGUGAUUCGAACAAGCAAGCGGAACCGACUGUGAUUCAGCCUAACGAUUCCAGCUGCAAAAAUCUGUGGAAAAGCCACAAGCCCACUCCAGUGACAGACCCUGUCUCUGCAGUACAUGAAGACCCUGAAAAAGGACACACAACUCCGGUUGAACAGUUUCCAGGGCCAGUGUCACCAGAGGCUCCACGGGCUAAUGAGAGACCCCCAACCACGAAGUGGGCUGAUGUUCCUGUCAAGAAGCCCAUCAGACCAGUUACUGCACCCCCUCCAGUGAGUGAGAGAGUCACAGUGCUGCCUGGACUCCCUGCUACUGCAAGUCCUUAUAUCGGCACUGUCUCUACCAGAGAUCCUGUAAUCUACACCGUUUGCUUCUUUACAUAG